rnacentral:rRNA from 1 species
CAGUUCGGCUGGAUCGGUGACAGGUAGCUGCAUGGCUGUCGUCAGCUCGUGUCGUGAGAUGUGGUUAAGUCCGCAACGAGCGCAACCCUCGUCCUUAGUUGCCAGCAUUAAGUUGGGCACUCUAAGGAGACUGCCGGUGUUAAACCGGAGGAAGGCGGGGAUGACGUCAAGUCCUCAUGGCCCUUAUGUCCAGGGCUACACACGUGCUACAAUGGCCGGUACAAAGGGUAGCAAGACCGCGAGGUGGAGCCAACCCCAAAAACGCCGGUACUCAGUUCGGAUUGGAGUCUGCAACUCGACUCCAUGAAGCUGGAUUCGCUAGUAAUCGCGCAUCAGCCACGGCGCGGUGAAUACGUUCCCGGGCCUU